rnacentral:rRNA from 1 species
UACAUGUGGGGCAAGCGUUGUUCGGAAUUACUGGGCAUAAAGGGUGCGUAGGUGGCUUGUUAAGUCAGGGGUGAAAGUUUUCGGCUCAACCGGAAAAUUGCCUUUGAUACUGGCGAGCUCGAGUGCGUGAGGGGUAACCGGAACGAGCAGUGUAGCGGUGAAAUGCGUAGAUAUUGCUCGGAAGGCCAACGGCGAAGGCAGGUUACUGGUACGCAACUGACACUGAGGCACGAAAGCGUGGGGAGCAAACAGG